AGAGUUUGAUCAUGGCUCAGAUUGAACGCUGGCGGCAGGCCUAACACAUGCAAGUCGAACGGUAACAGGAAGCAGCUUGCUGCUUUGCUGACGAGUGGCGGACGGGUGAGUAAUGUCUGGGAAACUGCCUGAUGGAGGGGGAUAACUACUGGAAACGGUGGCUAAUACCGCAUAACGUCGCAAGACCAAAGAGGGGGACCUUCGGGCCUCUUGCCAUCAGAUGUGCCCAGAUGGGAUUAGCUUGUUGGUGAGGUAACGGCUCACCAAGGCGACGAUCCCUAGCUGGUCUGAGAGGAUGACCAGCCACACUGGAACUGAGACACGGUCCAGACUCCUACGGGAGGCAGCAGUGGGGAAUAUUGCACAAUGGGCGCAAGCCUGAUGCAGCCAUGCCGCGUGUAUGAAGAAGGCCUUCGGGUUGUAAAGUACUUUCAGCGGGGAGGAAGGUGUUGUGGUUAAUAACCGCAGCAAUUGACGUUACCCGCAGAAGAAGCACCGGCUAACUCCGUGCCAGCAGCCGCGGUAAUACGGAGGGUGCAAGCGUUAAUCGGAAUUACUGGGCGUAAAGCGCACGCAGGCGGUCUGUCAAGUCGGAUGUGAAAUCCCCGGGCUCAACCUGGGAACUGCAUUCGAAACUGGCAGGCUUGAGUCUUGUAGAGGGGGGUAGAAUUCCAGGUGUAGCGGUGAAAUGCGUAGAGAUCUGGAGGAAUACCGGUGGCGAAGGCGGCCCCCUGGACAAAGACUGACGCUCAGGUGCGAAAGCGUGGGGAGCAAACAGGAUUAGAUACCCUGGUAGUCCACGCCGUAAACGAUGUCUACUUGGAGGUUGUGCCCUUGAGGCGUGGCUUCCGGAGCUAACGCGUUAAGUAGACCGCCUGGGGAGUACGGCCGCAAGGUUAAAACUCAAAUGAAUUGACGGGGGCCCGCACAAGCGGUGGAGCAUGUGGUUUAAUUCGAUGCAACGCGAAGAACCUUACCUGGUCUUGACAUCCACGGAAGUUUUCAGAGAUGAGAAUGUGCCUUCGGGAACCGUGAGACAGGUGCUGCAUGGCUGUCGUCAGCUCGUGUUGUGAAAUGUUGGGUUAAGUCCCGCAACGAGCGCAACCCUUAUCCUUUGUUGCCAGCGGUUAGGCCGGGAACUCAAAGGAGACUGCCAGUGAUAAACUGGAGGAAGGUGGGGAUGACGUCAAGUCAUCAUGGCCCUUACGACCAGGGCUACACACGUGCUACAAUGGCGCAUACAAAGAGAAGCGACCUCGCGAGAGCAAGCGGACCUCAUAAAGUGCGUCGUAGUCCGGAUUGGAGUCUGCAACUCGACUCCAUGAAGUCGGAAUCGCUAGUAAUCGUGGAUCAGAAUGCCACGGUGAAUACGUUCCCGGGCCUUGUACACACCGCCCGUCACACCAUGGGAGUGGGUUGCAAAAGAAGUAGGUAGCUUAACCU
rnacentral:rRNA from 1 species